rfam:Stegodyphus mimosarum contig65331, whole genome shotgun sequence.
GCCUUCGGGGUGUAGUGGUCAGCACGCUCGACGCGUAUUCGAGAGGUCCGUGGUUCAAAUCCCGGGAAGGGCA